rnacentral:rRNA from 1 species
AGAAUCAACGCUGGCGGCGUGCCUAACACAUGCAAGUCGCACGAGAAAGUGGAGCAAUCCAUGAGUAAAGUGGCGCACGGGUGGAGUAACACGUGAAUUAUCUACCUCCGAGGUGGGGAAUAACUGAGAGAAAUCUUAGCUAAUACCGCAUAACACUUACGAGUCAAAGCAGCAAUGCGCUUGGAGAGGAGUUCGCGGCCGAUUAGUUAGUUGGCGGGUAAUCGGCCCACCAAGACGAUGAUCGGUA